AGUGAACGCUGGCGGUAGGCCUAACACAUGCAAGUCGAACGGCAGCACAGUAAGAGCUUGCUCUUACGGGUGGCGAGUGGCGGACGGGUGAGGAAUACAUCGGAAUCUACUUUUUCGUGGGGGAUAACGUAGGGAAACUUACGCUAAUACCGCAUACGACCUACGGGUGAAAGCAGGGGAUCUUCGCACCUUGCGCGAUUGAAUGAGCCGAUGUCGGAUUAGCUAGUUGGCGGGGUAAAGGCCCACCAAGGCGACGAUCCGUAGCUGGUCUGAGAGGAUGAUCAGCCACACUGGAACUGGGACACGGACCAGGCUCCUAAGGGAGGCAGCAGUGGGGAAUAUUGGGCAAUGGGCGGAAGCCUGAUCCAGCCAUACCGCGUGGGUGACGAAGGCCUUCGGGUUGUGAAGCCCUUUUGUUGGGAGAGAAACGCAGCAGGUUGAUACGCCGCUGUUCUGACGGUAACCAAAGAAUAAGCACCGGCUAACUACGUG
rnacentral:rRNA from 1 species